CCUAGGGUUUUCCUCUUCCCUCCUCUACCGCCGCCAGGAAUGUAGAGCCACCAGAUCCGCCGCUAGAACCCCGUCCCGAGCGCGUCUAGGAGCACGGCCUUGUUGCCGUCGUGCUCACCAUCAUCCUCCGCCUCGCCGACCGUGUCCCUCUUCUUCCUCGACGUCCACUACGUCCACGACAUCGACUACGUGGAGCUGGAACCCGUUGCUGCGCCGUCUUCUUCCUCGUCUUCGACUCCGGCCACCACAGUUGUUCGAUCGCCCUCACCGUCGUCUCCGUCCACUUCACGUCAAGUCGAACACCCCAUCGUGUUCGUGUUGCAGGUACCGAUGAGUCUGAUGCAGGUGAUGCCACUGAGCUCAAGUGGGAGUUCGAUGAAGACCGUUGCCGUUAUUAUGUUUCCUUUCCGGACGAUCAGUAGUGGUGCCCAGUAGGGUCGAUCGAGACUUAGCUUGGGUGGUUGUCUUCUAUUCGUUUGCUUUCGCCCGUAGCCGGACUCUGUGUUCACCUUGAAUGAUUGUAUUACUUGAUGAUAUUUGUGUGACAUUGUGGCGAUUGUAAGCCAAAGGUCGUAUUCUAUCGAUUCAGUACAUGAGAUGCGCAAAGA